AUGAGUAUCUUAUGCUGGAACCGUCGAGGCUUGGGGUCGGACUCGACAGUUGGCGAGCUUCGCUGGCUUGUGAAGCUUUACCGACCCACCCUCCUCUUCCUUUCAGAGACGAAGAUGAGGGAUUCCCGUGCUAAAAAAUUUCUAUGGUCAUUGGGUUUUUCUGGUGGCCAUGCUGUGAGUAGUAAUGGCCUAAGUGGUGGCCUAGUUCUGUUCUGGUCGGUCUCCGUAAGUGUCUCUUUGAAAGCUUUCAAUAGCCGCUGCAUUGAUGUUCAUGUCAAGCCUGAGGAAGGGGUACCUUGGCGAGCAACGUUCAUUUAUGGAGAACCAAGGAGAGAGGACAAAGCUCAGUUCUGGGACUUCCUUCGUUUUAUGAGAGCUCAAUGGAAUGGCCCAUGGAUCUGUUGUGGUGACUUCAAUGAGGUGCUUUCCCAGGAUGAACACUGUGGUCCUAGGGAUCGCAAUGAUUCUCAAAUUACUGCAUUCCGUGACUGCCUGACAGAUUGUAGCCUGACUGAUUUGGGUUUUGUUGGACCAAAGUUCACAUGGUGCAACCGACAAGACCCAGAGUGUCAUGUCAAGGUGCGGUUGGAUAGGGCUGUGGCAAAUGCAAGUUUCUUGAAUCUGCUUGAGGAUUGUAAGGUGGAGAAUGUGAUAACCACCACUUCUGAUCACUAUGCUAUUCACAUUUGA
rnacentral:rRNA from 1 species